GGUUUAAUUCGAUGAUACGCGAGGAACCUUACCUGGGCUCGAACGUAAGAUGACUGUAGGUGAAAGCUUACAUCUCUUCGGAGCAUUUUACGAGGUGCUGCAUGGUUGUCGUCAGCUCGUGCCGUGAGGUGUCGGGUUAAGUCCCAUAACGAGCGCAACCCCUACCUUAGUUGCCAUCAGGUUAAGCUGGGGACUCUAAAGGAACUGCCUACGCAAGUAGUGAGGAAGGCGGGGAUGACGUCAAAUCAGCACGGCCCUUACGUCCAGGGCUACACACGUGCUACAAUGGCCGAUACAGAGGGCAGCUACCUGGUGACAGGAUGCAAAUCUCCAAAGUCGGUCUCAGUUCGGAUCGGAGUCUGCAACCCGACUCCGUGAAGUUGGAUUCGCUAGUAAUCGCGCAUCAGCCAUGGCGCGGUGAAUACGUUCCCGGGCCUU
rnacentral:rRNA from 1 species